rnacentral:tRNA from 1 species
GGAUUUAUAGUGUAUAUUAGCACACUAGAUUGCAAGUCUAUCAGAAGCACACAACCGCUUAAAUCCU